UGGGGAAUAUUGGACAGUGGGCGAAAGCCUGAUCCAGCCAUGCCGCGUGAGUGAUGAAGGCCCUAGGGUUGUAAAGCUCUUUUGUGCGGGAAGAUAAUGACGGUACCGCAAGAAUAAGCCCCGGCUAACUUCGUGCCAGCAGCCGCGGUAAUACGAAGGGGGCUAGCGUUGCUCGGAAUCACUGGGCGUAAAGGGUGCGUAGGCGGGUUUCUAAGUCAGAGGUGAAAGCCUGGAGCUCAACUCCAGAACUGCCUUUGAUACUGGAAGUCUUGAGUUCGGGAGAGGUGCGUGGAACUGCGAGUGUAGAGGUGAAAUUCGUAGAUAUUCGCAGGAACCCCAGUGGCGAAGGCGGCUCACUGGCCCGAUACUGACGCUGAGGCACGAAAGCGUGGGGAGCAAACA
rnacentral:rRNA from 1 species